rnacentral:rRNA from 1 species
CAAGAAUAUUAGUCAAUGCUCGAAAGAGUGAACUAGCUAACUGAAAUCUUAAUUAUACAAAUAUUAAGAUAAGGUAAGAGAAAAUAAUGAUAUUAUCUUACUAUUAGUGUCGUCUAAAUUUGGUGCCAGAAGACUCGGUAAGACCUUAGACACAAACGUUAAUCGUCAUAAUCAGGCGUAAAGGGUGUGCAGGCGGCUUUAAAAUUUAAUAAAGCUAGAAUCUAAAAGAGGGUAAGCUAAACAACAUAAUUAAUUAGGACUGACAACUUAUAAUAAUGUGGAGUACUAAAGGUUAAAGCUAUUUAUCUACUUAAGAUUGACGCUCAGAAACGAAGGGGAGAAUAAGAAACUUAGAUUAGAUACCUAAUUAUCUCUCUCAGUCAACGAUGAAUGGUAGUUAUUAAAACAAACAAAUUAGUAACGAGGUUAACACGAUGACCAUUCCGCCUUGUUAGUAAGACUGCAAAGUUGAAAACAAAAAAAUUAGUCGGUCUUGAAGCAAACGAAGUGAAGCAUGUUAUUUAAUUCGA